CACGUAGGGGGCGAGCGUUGUCCGGAAUCAUUGGGCGUAAAGAGCUCGUAGGCGGCUCGGUAAGUCGGGUGUGAAACCCCCAGGCUCAACCUGGGGACGCCACCCGAUACUGCUGUGGCUAGAGUCCAGUAGGGGAGUGUGGAAUUCCCGGUGUAGCGGUGAAAUGCGCAGAUAUCGGGAGGAACACCUAUGGCGAAGGCAGCUCUCUGGGACGGUACUGACGCUGAGACGCGAAAGCGUGGGGAGCAAACAGG
rnacentral:rRNA from 1 species